CCGGCCAGUGUCCCGCAGUGCUAAUUACCUCAUUAGCAGCUUGCGUGAACUGUGCCUUUUCUUCUUCACCAAUUACUGCUAAGGAGCAGUCCCGGCCAUUCCCUCUCUGUGGGUAAUGGUAACUUGCAGUCUUGACCCAGUCCCUCUGGAUGCAAGCCACUCCUGCUGGUAGCUCAGCUUAUUGCCUGCUAAUUGCCUCAUUAGUGGUGGAGGCUCACCAUGUCUCUCACUGCCUCCCCGCGGUUUGUGCUGGCUCGGCUCUGGGAGCUCCCUCGCUGCCAGAGUCAGCGCCUAGGAUCUGGGAUGGUCUCCCCCUUUGCUCCAGGAUCGUUGUCAGCUUCCCCUUUCGGGUCCCAAUCAGGGACCACCUCUCUAUUCUGGGACACCUUGCCCCGUCGCUGCCCAAGCCUCUGGCUUCUUUCGCCUCUAACUCACCACGGCGGCUGGAGUUCUGUCACAGGUACCAGGUGUCUCUACUGAUCUGGCGGCUGUAUGGUCCCUUCUCCGUGUCUCUCUGGGUCUCAGCUCCGCGUCUCAUGGCCAUCUUUCUCCGGGGCCUCGGGCAACCCCUCUCUUCUCUCUCCCGAUGCCCAAAGGCAUCUUGUCCAGGGCCUUGUCCUUCCUUUAUUCCUAGAAGCCGGGUCCCAUUGGCUUACCGGUGGCGCUGGGAGUCUCCCUCCCACCACCCCUGCCUGGGCAUCGUGAUGGACAGCUGCUGGGAUUUUCCCCAAGUAACAGGGCUCCAGUCAGGGACCCUGUUACCGAAAGGAUUUGUUUUGGUUUGCACAUUUAAAGAAAGUGAGUGUCAUUGAGCCAUUUGAACAGUUUCACGGUUUCUCGCCUGAAGUGAUCACUAGGGCUGUGCAAAGCUUCGGUCCCUGAUUCGAUUUGGCAGAGAUUCGGCCAAAUUCGGUGGCUGAAUAUCCAAAUCGAAUCAGAGAACCCUUUAAUCUCUCUGAAUCAAAUCAAUAUCCUCUGAAUUGAUUCGGAGAGAUUUGGAAAGAUUCAGACGUGGACACAGCUUUAAAUGUUUUUUUACAUACCUCUAGGUAGCAGGUGGUUCAUGAAUGCUGCUAUGCUGGAGCACAUGGAGUGUCCCACAGAAGCGUGGGGGGCUCCCCAGCGCGCUCAGCAGCAGACCUGGAAGUGGACCAGAAGCUCAGCUACUGGUGCCUCCUGGGUCUGGGAGGGACACCUGGGGUCCCCCUGUGGCUGAUUGCUGGGGCCCCAUGGGAGGGGGCCCCAGCAUGCUCCCCAGUGGAGCCGGAAGUGGACUGGAAGUACUUCCAGUCCACUUCUGGGUUUGCUGCUAAGCACGCAGAGGCUUCCCUGCACUCCUGUGGGAUGCUCCAUGCGCCCCAGCGGAUGUCCCUGAUUCAGGUCGAAUUUGAAUCCAAAACAAAUAGGGCCCCCUUCAUACACCCCUAGUGAUCACCCAACAUUUUCAAGAAUUUCCAGCACAAUAGUAGUGUGAGUAGGCUUCUGAAUGCCAUGGGCUAGACUAUCAAAAGUGAAGAAUUGCUUCAAAUGUCUGGAGACUGGACAAAUCACACUUCUUUUAUGCCUCUCUUCAUAAAAGUUUCACAUGUCCCAGAACAGGUUCCAGAACAGGUCCUAAUAGCAGGCACAGGAUGUAAUGUGUAUCAUCUGCUCUGCUUUACAUUUUAUUGAACAUGGACAGGAUCAAAAAAAGUCAAAUUUUGGAAGACUUGAUGGAUCCUUUGCAAGGAUGGGGACCAAACUGGACUUAUGCAGAAGUUGAGGCACUGAUUGACAUUUGGAGUGAAGGGAACAUCAUGCUACAACUGGGAAACUGCAGGAAUAAACCUGUUUACAUCUCUAUUUCUGAUUAAUUAGAGCAACUUGGCAUCAAACGUGACUGGGAACAGUGUCACAGUAAGAUAAAGGUCGUAAAGUGUGACCUCCAUCACAUAAAGGACAAUAAUUCUCCGUCUGGUGCCUCAUGUAGAAUGAUUCCAUUUUAUGACAAGCUCUCUAUCAUCCUUAAAAGAGAUCCUUCAGAGGCUUGCAUGACCGAGUUUGGGACAAGAGGUAUGCAUCAUGAGAAACCAGAAACUCCCCAAUGCCAAAGUACUUCUCCAACCACAGCUACUUUGCAAGUUCUAUGCAAUCAGCCUCUUCCUCAAGAACAGAAUCAGUCAUAGAGCAACAACCUCAUUUGGGACUGCUCUUCAGCACACAGCCAGAAAUGUGCUCUCCCUCUACUCUAGUGAACCCACACAUGUUGGUACCAGACACCCAGGAGACUCAACAGAUGCUUGAAAGAAAUAACUCCUGUCCGUGAUGAGGAAGAGGACUCUGACUCAACUGUCGCUGUGUCUCAGGACUUGUCAGAUUCCAAAGGGAGUACUGUGUCAGGGAGGCAACAACAGAGUCCUGAGUCGGAGACUCUGCUAUCCUCGUGAAGGGUGAUUUGCACUCCUUCAUCUUCAUCUUCAAGAGCAGUUGUUAACUCUCAACAUCAACAUAAUUAUUGAAAAAAUCAACAAGAAGCUAAGAAAAGUAUUCUUCUACUGACAGAUGUGUCUGAAAGCAUGGCUACGCCCAGUGCAGAAAUGACAUCCAAAUUGAAAGAUGUGUUGGAUGUGUUAAAGCAUAGUGAGCAAACCAAUUUGAAGGUUAUGAAAUGCACUAGUAAUGACAUGGUACAAUGUUUUAAGGAAUUAAAUCAGAAGGUUGAUCUCAUUUUGAGGGAGAAUCAAAGGUUCAGAUAGCAGUUUGUAACAGUUUCAUGAACGCCGGUGUACUGAGAGAGUAACCCACCCAAAAAAACUCUCCAAUCUUUUGCAAAGGAGAGCUGUGGCUCUUGUAGCUGUAAGAGGAGAACCCCAAGGCUCUUCAGGGAUGUUGAUGAGGAGGAAGAGGAUGCUGACAUAACCUGGAGAAGGUGCAGGAGAGGGGAAUCUCAUGGAGAAGCAGGUUCUCAUGACUAGAGUUUUCUAUGACCCCCUGGGAUUGGUGUGCUUCUCCCUCCCUCAUGUGCUCUCAACCCAGUAUUUGCAAAGCAGAUUGCACCUCAAUGUACCAGGGGCUGCGUGGGGUCUCUGUGACUCUUUUCUCUCUACCUACUUUAGGAAUUUUUUCAAAAUCUCUCAUAGAAAUAAAGUACCACAAAAGGA